UACGUAGGGUGCGAGCGUUGUCCGGAAUUAUUGGGCGUAAAGGGCUCGUAGGCGGUUUGUCGCGUCGGGAGUGAAAUCCACUGGCUUAACUGGUGGCUUGCUUUCGAUACGGGCAGACUGGAGGUAUGCAGGGGAGAACGGAAUUCCUGGUGUAGCGGUGAAAUGCGCAGAUAUCAGGAGGAACACCGGUGGCGAAGGCGGCCCGCUGGGCAGGAAGGCUCGCAAGAGCCGGCUGACGCUGAGGCGCGACAGCGUGGGGAGCAAACAGG
rnacentral:rRNA from 1 species